rnacentral:rRNA from 1 species
AGAGUUUGAUCCUGGCUCAGAAUCAACGCUGGCGGCGUGCCUCAGACAUGCAAGUCGAACGAUUAAAGCUCUCUUCGGAGAGUGCAUAGAGUGGCGCACGGGUGAGUAACACGUAAGUAAUCUACCCUCGAGUGGGGAAUAACGUCCGGAAACGGGCGCUAAUACCGCAUAAUGCAGCGGCAUCAUAAGAUGACAGUUGUUAAAGAUUUAUCGCUUGAGGAGGAGCUUGCGGCAGAUUAGCUAGUUGGUAAGGUAACGGCUUACCAAGGCUACGAUCUGUAACCGGUCUUAGAGGACGGUCGGUCACACUGACACUGAAUAACGGGUCAGACUCCUACGGGAGGCAGCAGUCGGGAAUUUUGGGCAAUGGGCGAAAGCCUGACCCAGCAACGCCGCGCGAAGGAUGAAGUAUUUCGGUAUGUAAACUUCGAAAGAAUAGGAAGAAUUAAUGACGGUACUAUUUAUAAGGUCCGGCUAACUACGUGCCAGCAGCCGCGGUAAUACGUAGGGACCAAGCGUUGUUCGGAUUUACUGGGCGUAAAGGGCGCGUAGGCGGCAUGACAAGUCACUUGUGAAAUCUCCGGGCUUAACUCGGAACGGCCAAGUGAUACUGUCACGCUAGAGUAUUGGAGGGGCAAUCGGAAUUCUUGGUGUAGCGGUGAAAUGCGUAGAUAUCAAGAGGAACACCUGAGGUGAAGACGGGUUGCUGGCCAAAUACUGACGCUGAGGCGCGAAAG